UACAGAGGGUGCGAGCGUUAAUCGGAAUUACUGGGCGUAAAGCGCGCGUAGGCAGCUUUGCAAGUCGGGUGUGAAAUCCCCAGGCUCAACCUGGGAACUGCAUUCGAGACUGCAUUGCUAGAGUAUGGGAGAGGGAAGUGGAAUUUCCGGUGUAGCGGUGAAAUGCGUAGAUAUCGGAAGGAACAUCAGUGGCGAAAGCGACUUCCUGGACCAAUACUGACGCUCAUGUGCGAAAGCGUGGGGAGCAAACAGG
rnacentral:rRNA from 1 species